rnacentral:rRNA from 1 species
GACGAACGCUGGCGGCGUGCUUAACACAUGCAAGUGGUGCGACGAACCAGGCUUCGGCCUGGGGCAGAGCCGCGAACGGGUGAGUAACACGUGGGUAACGUGCCCCAAUGAUCGGGACAACCCGGGGAAACCCGGGCUAAUACCGAAUGUGCUCCCCUCACACCAGUGAGGGGUGGAAAGGAAGCUUCGGCCUCCGCAUUGGGGUCGGCCCGCGGCCCAUUAGCUUGUUGGUGAGGUAACGGCUCACCAAGGCUGCGAUGGGUAGCUGGUCUGAGAGGACGAUCAGCCACACUGGGGCUGAGACGCGGCCCAGAGUCCUACGGGAGGCAGCAGGGGGGAAUCUUGCGCAAUGCGCGAAAGCGUGACGCAGCAACGCCGCGGGGGGGAAGAAGGCCUUCGGGUUGUAAACCCCUUUCAGGAGGGACGAAGCCCGGGCGGUUAAUAGCCGACCCGGGUGACGGUACCUCCAGAAGAAGCCCCGGCUAACUUCGUGCCAGCAGCCGCAGUAACAC